CUUCUUCACUGAAUUCACCAGGCCUUGUGUUCAACUGUAAGCACUUCCCAGACAGAGUUUAGGAUGCAAAUGUAUACAUUCUUACAUCAUGGGAGUUCUCAUGUGGCAUGGGGUGAAGUCUCUUACUUCUGGCCACUUUCUGUUAGUACGUGAAAGUGGUGGCACAUACAAAAAGUGGAAGAUCAUGGGCUGUGAGAUGAAUUUAUCCAGGCAGAACUCUGCUCUCUACUCAGAAGAAAUAGAACUAAAAUGAUACUGGUUGUGGGCCGUGAUGAUACCAAAAUGAUACUGUGAGCCAUUCUCAGGGCAGCGUUAGCCUCAUAGCACGUACUUUUGACAUUUAGUCAGAUUACUGACUUCAGUGUGAUCAAGCUGCAUCCUUGAAAGGAGGCACAUAUUUUUCAAUUUUAUACAAAUUACAGAGCAACAAGGUGUGUUUCUUAUGAAGAAUAUCUUAGGGCCAAAGACAUAAAUACAUUAGUCUCCCUAGGCUUACUCUCAUUAAUAGCAGAAAGUGCAUAUUCAUGCUUUUGCUGUGAGGCAACGUACCCUGAUAUCUGCCUCUCUUCUCAUUUUCACCUUCCCCUCUAAAUUGCUCACAUUUUUCUCAUUUGUACAUUCCUGAUGAGUAAAGCAAAUUUAUUUCACCUGAGAGCAAGGAGGGAGGUGUCCAGUGAUAAGGCAAGAAUUUGAUGAGUAGCUGUGCAGUUUUUUCCUUUGAAAGCUCCUCACUCAACUUGUCCACCCUUUGGUGAUUAUUUCCUUUGGAAAUAGUUUUCUUAAAAACUACUCGGAUCUUAAGAACUUCACAUGCAGAGGACUGCUUUUGGGGUCCAGGAGUUUGAAACAGAAUAAGAUACUACAUUAGCCAGUGACCUGAAAUAAAAGCAAAUGGAACUCAGAAGAGCUUGCAGGGGUCAGUCAGUCCACGAUCUCCCUUACAGCCAGCUCCGUUUUACCCAGGCCAUUACUAGAAAAUGUCAGUUUGCCUUGUUCUUAAGAACAUCUCCUUAAAAACAUCCUCAAUCCUGCUACCUCAAGAAGCCAACUGUUCUGUAAGAUUUUUUGCUGGAAGUUAAGGGACUGCUCCUGCACUUCUCAAAGACAUAGCAAAGAUUCCCUGGAAGAAGAGUUUAUAAAACAAGAAAGCCAUAGAGAAGAUGAUGAGAGAGAAAGGGCAGAAGUGGAGCAGAAGAAGGAGAAAACUCACCAGUGAGAUUGCACAGAUGUUCAGCAGGGAAGAGAGCAUUGCCUGGUGGAAGGAAGCAGCUAUUAAAUGGAAAAUAAAUAACUGUCAAGCCCUGUUGUUGUGGAAGAAAGAAGAGGGCAUAGGGAGAGGACUGCAUUUGGAUUGUCUGUUUUGCAUCCAGUAUGCAGCUGUGAUAGAACAAGAGUCAUGGGUUAAAGCAGAGGACUUGUUCAGUUCAUCUUGGUUCAUGCUCAAACUCUCACUAGAGAAGAGUGGUGAGUCAUAUACAGUGGUCCACGCAUGGGAUGCUAACUUCAGGAGACAGUUGCCCAGCCAUGGAAGGAGGGAAAAGACUUGAUAACAGCUCUCAGGAGGUUUGAGCAUCUCUGUGGUAAUGUCCCUGAAAAUGUGUAAUGUCAACCAGGAGUGAAAAUCUCUGCAGGGAGGAAGGAAAACACAGUGUCUUUGGUUCACAUCACUCCAUGGAGAGGAGGCUCUUGAUGCACAACGAAGCCCUUAUAUAUGUCAGUGACCGAAGGAAAGCUGAAGACUAAAGGGGGUGGAGGAAAAGUGCAUUAAAAUAAUAAAAAAUGUGUUAUGAAAUUUCAGUCAAAUGUAUGUAAAUCUUUAUUAAUUAAAGGACUUCUCAACAUGAUAAUGUGGCCAUGUAUUUCUUGGCAUUUUCACAAAUGAGGAAGCGCAGCUUCCUGCACUGGCAAUUGAUCUGCUUCCCAGUGUUAACAUUAGCAUACUUGAGACUUUACAGCUGUUAACUUGAUGACUUUACAAUUGAUAUGAAACGUUUUCCAUACUGUCUUAAUCUUGUAAUCCAGAUUCUGCCACCUUUGGUCAUCUUGCAUGGCAUCAGUUUAAUAAAUAGGGUUGUUAUUCU
ensembl:lncRNA